rnacentral:rRNA from 1 species
GUGGGGAAUAUUGCACAAUGGGCGCAAGCCUGAUGCAGCCAUGCCGCGUGUAUGAAGAAGGCCUUCGGGUUGUAAAGUACUUUCAGCGGGGAGGAAGGGAGUAAAGUUAAUACCUUUGCUCAUUGACGUUACCCGCAGAAGAAGCACCGGCUAACUCCGUGCCAGCAGCCGCGGUAAUACGGAGGGUGCAAGCGUUAAUCGGAAUUACUGGGCGUAAAGCGCACGCAGGCGGUUUGUUAAGUCAGAUGUGAAAUCCCCGGGCUCAACCUGGGAACUGCAUCUGAUACUGGCAAGCUUGAGUCUCGUAGAGGGGGGUAGAAUUCCAGGUGUAGCGGUGAAAUGCGUAGAGAUCUGGAGGAAUACCGGUGGCGAAGGCGGCCCCCUGGACGAAGACUGACGCUCAGGUGCGAAAGCGUGGGGA